GCUGGGUGCAGUGGUGCACGCCUGUAAUCCCAGCAGCUUGGGAGGUUGAGACAGGAGGAUUGCAAGUUCAAAGCCAGCCUCAGCGAAAAGCAAGACGCUAAGCAACUCAAUGAGACCCUGUCUCUA
rnacentral:sRNA from 1 species